CCUCCCUCUCCACCGCCGACACCUUCCUCGGCCCCAAACCCCAUCCCCGCCGGCCCGAUCACAGUCACUGUCGGUCCAGCCCGGUCCUAUCCCCGUCGGCCCCCCGGUGGCCCGAGAAAACACAAAAAAAAAAUCCUUACCGUCGGCCCGGUCACAGUCGUCACCGUCCCGGCCCGGCCCGGAGCCAUCCCCACCGGCCCGGCUCGGCCCCAUCCCCUUCGGCCCCUGG
rnacentral:lncRNA from 1 species